GAUGAACGCUAGCGACAGGCUUAACACAUGCAAGUCGAGGGGCAGCAUAGAAGUAGCAAUACUUUGGUGGCGACCGGCGCACGGGUGAGUAACGCGUAUGCAACCUACCUAUCAGAGGGGGAUAACCCGGCGAAAGUCGGACUAAUACCGCAUAAAACAGGGGCACCGCAUGGUGAUAUUUGUUAAAGAUUAAUUGCUGAUUGAUGGGCAUGCGUUCCAUUAGGUAGUUGGUGAGGUAAUGGCUCACCAAGCCGACGAUGGAGAGGGGAACUGAGAGGGUGGUCCCCCCAACUGGUACGGAGACACGGACCAGGCUCCUACGGGAGGCAGCAGUGAGGAAUAUUGGUCAAUGGGCGAGAGCCUGAACCAGCCAAGUCGCGUGAAGGAAGAAGGAUCUAUGGUUCGUAAACUUCUUUUGCAGGGGAAUAAAGUGGAGGACGUGUCCUCUUUUGUAUGUACUCUGAGAAUAAGGAUCGGCUAACUCCGUGCCAGCAGCCGCCGUAAUAC
rnacentral:rRNA from 1 species